CAGCCGCCACGGGAAUACGGAGGGAGCUAGCGUUAUUCGAAAUUACUGGGCGUAAAGCGCACGUAGGCGGCUUUGUAAGUUAGAGGUGAAAGCCUGGUGCUCAACACCAGAACUGCCUUUGAUACUGCAUCGCUUGAAUCCAGGAGAGGUGAGUGGAAUUCCGAGUGUAGAGGUGAAAUUCGUAGAUAUUCGGAAGAACACCAGUGGCGAAGGCGGCUCACUGGACUGGUAUUGACGCUGAGGUGCGAAAGCGUGGGGAGCAAACAGGAUUAGAUACCCCUGUAGUCCCUGUCUCUUAUAC
rnacentral:rRNA from 1 species